rnacentral:rRNA from 1 species
AGCAGCCGCGGUAAUUCCAGCUCCAAUAGCGUAUAUUAAAGUUAUUGCAGUUAAAAAGCUCGUAGUUGAAUUUCGGGAUCAAUACGUCGGUCGUGCUUUGGUACGUACUGGCGUCAUUGAUUUCUCCCUUCUGACGAACCAUGAUGUCAUUAACUUGGUGUCAUGGGAAAUCAGGACUGUUAACUUUGAAAAAAUUAGAGUGUUUAAAGCAGGCUCACGCUUGAAUACAUUAGCAUGGAAUAAUGAAAUAGGACGUUCGAUCCUAUUUUGUGUUUUAGGAUCAACGUAAUGAUUAAUAGGGAUAGUUGGGGGCAUUAGUAUUCAAUUGUCAGAGGUGAAAUUCUUGGAUUUAUUGAAGACUAACUACUG